rnacentral:rRNA from 1 species
GGGUUGUGAGGUUAAGCGACUAAGCGUACACGGUGGAUGCCCUGGCAGUCAGAGGCGAUGAAGGACGUGCUAAUCUGCGAAAAGCGUCGGUAAGGUGAUAUGAACCGUUAUAACCGGCGAUGUCCGAAUGGGGAAACCCAGUGCAAUUCGUUGCACUAUCGUUAACUGAAUACAUAGGUUAACGAGGCGAACCGGGGAACUGAAACAUCUAAGUACCCCGAGGAAAGAAAUCAACCGAGAUUCCCCAGUAGCGGCGAGCGAACGGGGAGCAGCCCAGAGUCUGAAUCAGCUUGUGUGUUAGUGGAACGGUCUGGAAAGUCCGACGGUACAGGGUGAUAGUCCCGUACACCAAAAUGCACAGGUUGUGAACUCGAAGAGUAGGGCGGGACACGUGGUAUCCUGUCUGAAUAUGGGGACCAUCCAAGGCUAAAUACUCCUGACUGACCGAUAGUGAACCAGUACCGUGAGGGAAAGGCGAAAAGAACCCCGGCGAGGGAGUGAAAAGAACCUGAAACCGUGUACGUACAAGCAGUGGGAGCACCUUCGGGUGUGACUGCGUACCUUUGUAUAAUGGGUCAGCGACUUAUAUUCUGUAGCAAGGUUAACCGUAUAGGGAGCCGCAGGGAAACCGAGUCUUAACUGGGCGUUAAGUUGCAGGGUAUAGACCCGAAACCCGGUGAUCUAGCCAUGGGCAGGUUGAAGGUUGGGUAACACUAACUGGAGGACCGAACCGACUAAUGUUGAAAAAUUAGCGGAUGACUUGUGGCUGGGGGUGAAAGGCCAAUCAAACCGGGAGAUAGCUGGUUCUCCCCGAAAGCUAUUUAGGUAGCGCCUCGUGAAUUCAUCUUCGGGGGUAGAGCACUGUUUCGGCUAGGGGGUCAUCCCGACUUACCAACCCGAUGCAAACUACGAAUACCGAAGAAUGUUAUCACGGGAGACACACGGCGGGUGCUAACGUCCGUCGUGAAGAGGGAAACAACCCAGACCGCCAGCUAAGGUCCCAAAGUCAUGGUUAAGUGGGAAACGAUGUGGGAAGGCACAGACAGCCAGGAUGUUGGCUUAGAAGCAGCCAUCAUUUAAAGAAAGCGUAAUAGCUCACUGGUCGAGUCGGCCUGCGCGGAAGAUGUAACGGGCUAAACCAUGCACCGAAGCUGCGGCAGCGACACUAUGUGUUGUUGGGUAGGGAGCGUUCUGUAAGCCUGCGAAGGUGUGCUGUGAGGCAUGCUGGAGGUAUCAGAAGUGCGAAUGCUGACAUAAGUAACGAUAAAGCGGGUGAAAAGCCCGCUCGCCGGAAGACCAAGGGUUCCUGUCCAACGUUAAUCGGGGCAGGGUGAGUCGACCCCUAAGGCGAGGCCGAAAGGCGUAGUCGAUGGGAAACAGGUUAAUAUUCCUGUACUUGGUGUUACUGCGAAGGGGGGACGGAGAAGGCUAUGUUAGCCGGGCGACGGUUGUCCCGGUUUAAGCAUGUAGGCUGAUUGUCCAGGCAAAUCCGGAUAAUCAAGGCUGAGGUGUGAUGACGAGGCACUACGGUGCUGAAGUAACAAAUGCCCUGCUUCCAGGAAAAGCCUCUAAGCAUCAGGUAACAUCAAAUCGUACCCCAAACCGACACAGGUGGUCAGGUAGAGAAUACCAAGGCGCUUGAGAGAACUCGGGUGAAGGAACUAGGCAAAAUGGUGCCGUAACUUCGGGAGAAGGCACGCUGGUGUGUAGGUGAAGUCCCUGCGGAUGGAGCUGAGACCAGUCGAAGAUACCAGCUGGCUGCAACUGUUUAUUAAAAACACAGCACUGUGCAAACACGAAAGUGGACGUAUACGGUGUGACGCCUGCCCGGUGCCGGAAGGUUAAUUGAUGGGGUUAUCCGUAAGGAGAAGCUCUUGAUCGAAGCCCGGUAAACGGCGGCCGUAACUAUAACGGUCCUAAGGUAGCGAAAUUCCUUGUCGGGUAAGUUCCGACCUGCACGAAUGGCGUAAUGAUGGCGGGCUGUCUCCACCCGAGACUCAGUGAAAUUGAACUCGCUGUGAAGAUGCAGUGUACCCGCGGCAAGACGGAAAGACCCCGUGAACCUUUACUAUAGCUUGACACUGAACAUUGAGCCUUGAUGUGUAGGAUAGGUGGGAGGCUUUGAAGCGUGGACGCCAGUCUGCGUGGAGCCAACCUUGAAAUACCACCCUUUAAUGUUUGAUGUUCUAACGUUGGCCCCUUACCGGGGUUGCGGACAGUGUCUGGUGGGUAGUUUGACUGGGGCGGUCUCCUCCCAAAGCGUAACGGAGGAGCACGAAGGUUAGCUAAUCCUGGUCGGACAUCAGGAGGUUAGUGCAAUGGCAUAAGCUAGCUUGACUGCGAGCGUGACGGCGCGAGCAGGUGCGAAAGCAGGUCAUAGUGAUCCGGUGGUUCUGAAUGGAAGGGCCAUCGCUCAACGGAUAAAAGGUACUCCGGGGAUAACAGGCUGAUACCGCCCAAGAGUUCAUAUCGACGGCGGUGUUUGGCACCUCGAUGUCGGCUCAUCACAUCCUGGGGCUGAAGUAGGUCCCAAGGGUAUGGCUGUUCGCCAUUUAAAGUGGUACGCGAGCUGGGUUUAGAACGUCGUGAGACAGUUCGGUCCCUAUCUGCCGUGGGCGCUGGAGAAUUGAGGGGGGCUGCUCCUAGUACGAGAGGACCGGAGUGGACGCAUCACUGGUGUUCGGGUUGUCAUGCCAAUGGCACUGCCCGGUAGCUAAAUGCGGAAGAGAUAAGUGCUGAAAGCAUCUAAGCACGAAACUUGCCCCGAGAUGAGUUCUCCCUGAGACUUUAAGUCUCCUGAAGGAACGUUAAAGACGAUGACGUUGAUAGGCCGGGUGUGUAAGCGCAGCGAUGCGUUGAGCUAACCGGUACUAAUGAACCGUGAGGCUUAACCUUACAACGCCGAAG